rnacentral:rRNA from 1 species
GUGGGGAAUAUUCCGCAAUGGACGAAAGUCUGACGGAGCAACGCCGCGUGAGUGAUGAAGGUUUUCGGACUGUAAAGCUCUGUUGUUUAGGACGAAAGUGCCUGUUGCGAACAGUUACAGGUAUUGACGGUACUAAACGAGGAAGCCACGGCUAACUACGUGCCAGCAGCCGCGGUAAUACGUAGGUGGCAAGCGUUUUCCGGAAUUAUUGGGCGUAAAGAGCAUGUAGGCGGAGAUUUAAGUCUGUUGUGAAAAUGCGGGGCUCAACCCCGUAUUGCGAUGGAAACUGAAUUUCUUGAGUGCAGGAGAGGAAAGGGGAAUUCCCAGUGUAGCGGUGAAAUGCGUAGAUAUUGGGAGGAACACCAGUGGCGAAGGCGCCUUUCUGGACUGUGUCUGACGCUGAGAUGCGAAAGCCAGGGUAGCGAACGGGAUUAGAUACCCCUGUAGUCC